rnacentral:rRNA from 1 species
AGCCCAGCGUGAAGGCCUUAUCACUCCGGUGUUAAGGCGGUGCCGUUAAUGACCUGUCAUUGUGCUUUGCUGAAGCUUCAUGAAUGCUUUUGAAUAAGCUUCAUUCUAGCCAUAGAGGGUGCAAGCCCCUUGGUGUUGUGGAAGCAAAGCAUGGACUUGUCAUGAUAGAGUCGGGUUGCUUGAGAGUGCAACCUAAAUUAGAUGGUAAGCUCCAUCUAAGGCUAAAUAUCGCUGUGAGACCGAUAGCAAACAAGUACCGUGAGGGAAAGUUGCAAAGAACUUUGAAGAGAGAGUUCAAUAGGACGUGAAACCGUUUGCAGGUAAACAGAUGGACCCACGAAGUCCAGUUGAGCAGGGAAUUCAAAUUUUUUGAAUGUGCCUCUACUGAUUGUAUUCUUCUGUAAAGGAGGUUACGUUGGCUAGAGGUGCACCGAGAGAUGCAUUUUCCCUGUUCACGAUGGAGCUCUGACUGCUCUUUGACUUAAGUUGUGUAAGGCAGCCUUAGAUUGUGAGAUGUUUCUUAGGAAAUAUUUCUACUCUCUGAGGUUCACGAUGGAGUCAAACCGAGCAGGUGAAUUUCUCAUUUAGGUGAGUGUUCAGGUUGUCGAUAUCCUAGCUGAGGUAGAGUGUGCUGGUCUUUGAAUUUUCGGCUCUUGCAGUUGAAAUUCAAGGAAGCUGUGCA